rnacentral:rRNA from 1 species
UUUGCCUACGGGGGGCAGCAGUGAGGAAUAUUGGUCAAUGGGCGGAAGCCUGAACCAGCCAAGUCGCGUGAGGGAAUAAGGCCGUACGGGUCGUAAACCUCUUUUGCCGGGGAGCAAGGGCCGGGACGCGUCCCGGCCCGGAGAGUACCCGGCGAAAAAGCCUCGGCUAACUCCGUGCCAGCAGCCGCGGUAAUACGGAGGAUGCGAGCGUUAUCCGGAUUUAUUGGGUUUAAAGGGUGCGUAGGCGGGCUUUUAAGUCCGCGGUAAUAAUUCGGGGCUCACCCCCGUCCGGCCGUU